rnacentral:rRNA from 1 species
AUGCAAGUCGAGCGGAUGACGGGAGCUUGCUCCUUGAUUCAGCGGCGGACGGGUGAGUAAUGCCUAGGAAUCUGCCUGGUAGUGGGGGACAACGUUUCGAAAGGAACGCUAAUACCGCAUACGUCCUACGGGAGAAAGCAGGGGACCUUCGGGCCUUGCGCUAUCAGAUGAGCCUAGGUCGGAUUAGCUAGUUGGUGAGGUAAUGGCUCACCAAGGCGACGAUCCGUAACUGGUCUGAGAGGAUGAUCAGUCACACUGGAACUGAGACACGGUCCAGACUCCUACGGGAGGCAGCAGUGGGGAAUAUUGGACAAUGGGCGAAAGCCUGAUCCAGCCAUGCCGCGUGUGUGAAGAAGGUCUUCGGAUUGUAAAGCACUUUAAGUUGGGAGGAAGGGCAGUAAGUUAAUACCUUGCUGUUUUGACGUUACCGACAGAAUAAGCACCGGCUAACUCUGUGCCAGCAGCCGCGGUAAUACAGAGGGUGCAAGCGUUAAUCGGAAUUACUGGGCGUAAAGCGCGCGUAGGUGGUUCGUUAAGUUGGAUGUGAAAGCCCCGGGCUCAACCUGGGAACUGCAUCCAAAACUGGCGAGCUAGAGUACGGUAGAGGGUGGUGGAAUUUCCUGUGUAGCGGUGAAAUGCGUAG